CAGCAGUGGGGGAAUAUUGCACAAUGGGGGAAACCCUGAUGCAGCCAUGCCGCGUGUGUGAAGAAGGCCUUCGGGUUGUAAAGCACUUUCAGUAGGGAGGAAGGUAGUGUAGUUAACACCUGCACUAUUUGACGUUACCUACAGAAGAAGCACCGGCUAACUCCGUGCCAGCAGCCGCGGUAAUACGGAGGGUGCGAGCGUUAAUCGGAAUUACUGGGCGUAAAGCGCAUGCAGGCGGCCUGUUAAGUCAGAUGUGAAAGCCCGGGGCUUAACCUCGGAAUUGCAUUUGAAACUGGCAGGCUAGAGUCUUGUAGAGGGGGUAGGAAUUUCAGGUGUAGCGGUGAAAAUGCGUAGAGAUCUGAAGGAAUACCAGUGGCGAAGGCGGCCCCCUCGGACAAAGACUGACGCUCAGAUGCGAAAAGCGUGGGGAGCAAACAGGAUUAGAUACCCUGGUAG
rnacentral:rRNA from 1 species